GAUUUCUGACAUGAAUAUGUUUAACCCACCACGGUUACGUGUGUGAGUGUUGAAUCAUAUUUGUCAUCCUUCUAGAAAAUAUAUGAUUGGAGUAAUCUUCAUUGAUUAUUUCAUUGUAUUUCUUUUUCUAGAUCUUUUACUUUGAAAAAAUUAGAGUGUUUAAAGCAGGCUAUAUUGCUAUGAAUACAUUAGCAUGGAAUAAUAAUUUAGGACUUUAGUUCUAUUUUAUUGGUUUUUAGUAACUGAAGUAAUGAUUGAUAGGGAUAGUUGGGGGUGCUCGUAUUCAGUGGCCAGAGGUGAAAUUCUCGGAUUCACUGAAGACGAACUUAUGCGAAAGCAUU
rnacentral:rRNA from 1 species